rnacentral:rRNA from 1 species
GACGAACGCUGGCGGCGUGCUUAACACAUGCAAGUCGAACGGAAAGGCCCUUCGGGGUACUCGAGUGGCGAACGGGUGAGUAACACGUGGGUGAUCUGCCCUGCACUUUGGGAUAAGCCUGGGAAACUGGGUCUAAUACCGAAUAGGACCGCGCGCUUCAUGGUGUGUGGUGGAAAGCUUUUGCGGUGUGGGAUGGGCCCGCGGCCUAUCAGCUUGUUGGUGGGGUAAUGGCCUACCAAGCCGACGACGGGUAGCCGGCCUGAGAGGGUGACCGGCCACACUGGGACUGAGAUACGGCCCAGUCUCCUACGGGAGGCAGCAGUGGGGAAUAUUGCACAAUGGGCGCAAGCCUGAUGCAGCGACGCCGCGUGAGGGAUGACGGCCUUCGGGUUGUAAACCUCUUUCACCAGGGACGAAGCGCAAGUGACGGUACCUGGAGAAGAAGCACCGGCCAACUACGUG